rnacentral:lncRNA from 10 species
UGUACAACAAAUGAAUACAGUCUUGAAAGAGGACACAUAAAAAUAAGAAUAUUAGGCAGCAAAGUUAGAGAAGUUAAUAUAAAAGAAGAGGGAGCUGGAGGCCAUGGCAGUUAGUGCGCAUUUCUAAAGACCAAUAGGAACAUAAUGAGGAGCUUUAAGAAAGUAAUGUGGCUGGGCACAGUGGCUCCUUGCAGUGAGCCAAGAUUGCACCACUGCACUCCAGCCUGGGCAACAGAGCGAGACUCCAUCUCAAAAAAAAAAAAAAGCACAACUUUUCCAAUUUCAUUUCUGGUAUAUAAGCCUUGCCAUCCACAGCUGCCCAGGUAGUGUCAUUCGCAGACUCUAAAGUUUUGAUCUCUUCAUAUUAGAGGGAAUAAGAGACUGUGUGUUUCACAUGGUCUAGAGUCUAGAAAGUAAGAAUUGGUCAGCCUGAUUUAACUAUGGGGCCAGGGAGAGGUAGGUGUGUGGGGAUUGGUCUGAUCUCCCAAAGUAUCUCAGAAAAAAAAUGAGUGAUUGCCAUGGACCAGAUAUGGACUAGGGGUUCAUGGUAUGGUCAUCACCUAGAAUGGGGGAUAUACCUCACCAGAAUGAAAGUCAACCUCUGAUGCCAAAAGGCUUAGAAAACAGAGGUAAUCAACAAAACU